rnacentral:rRNA from 1 species
GAUGAACGCUGGCGGCGUGCCUAAUACAUGCAAGUCGAACGCACAGCGAAAGGUGCUUGCACCUUUCAAGUGAGUGGCGAACGGGUGAGUAACACGUGGACAACCUGCCUCAAGGCUGGGGAUAACAUUUGGAAACAGAUGCUAAUACCGAAUAAAACUUAGUGUCGCAUGACACAAAGUUAAAAGGCGCUUCGGCGUCACCUAGAGAUGGAUCCGCGGUGCAUUAGUUAGUUGGUGGGGUAAAGGCCUACCAAGACAAUGAUGCAUAGCCGAGUUGAGAGACUGAUCGGCCACAUUGGGACUGAGACACGGCCCAAACUCCUACGGGAGGCUGCAGUAGGGAAUCUUCCACAAAGGGCGAAAGCCUGAUGGAGCAACGCCGCGUGUGUGAUGAAGGCUUUCGGGUCGUAAAGCACUGUUGUAUGGGAAGAACAGCUAGAAUAGGAAAUGAUUUUAGUUUGACGGUACCAUACCAGAAAGGGACGGCUAAAUACGUG